GACUAAUCAAUGCAACGGUUAGA
rnacentral:snRNA from 1 species